CGUUUAGGGGUAAACCUGAGAAACCCGAAAGGUCGAAGGGUGAAAUUCAAAUGCUGCUAGCGACCGGAGGCUGGUGGUCGAGCGACGGAAGACGUUCGCGUCAACCGCGCCCUCUGCCAGUCGAGCCGGCUGCGAGCGCGUGCACUUUUCACCUGGUAGGACGCCGCGAUUCGUUGGGUGUCGGUCUACGGUGCGUGGUGGAGCCUACGUGUCUUCCUCGGAAGACAAGCAGACCCACGCUACCCGGCCGACUUGCUCGACGGUAUCUGAAUGGUUGCUGGCCGCUCCUCAGCGAGCGUUCGACUCGUGGCAAGCACGUCAGACCAGUCGGUGACCGGACCUAGUGCCGAUUCUGACUACUGGCGACUGUUGGCUGCGAUGUUUUCGAACAGACCACGCUCAAAACCGAUCAGCGACGCUAUAGCUUUGGGUACUUUCAGGACCCGUCUUGAAACACGGACCAAGGAGUCUAGCAUGUGCGCGAGUCAUUGGGAUUCACACUAAACCUAAAGGCGCAAUGAAAGUGAAGGUUUCUGCUUGCAGAGACCGAGGGAAGAUGGGUGGCUCGCCCUUAAAAGCGACCGCUCAGCACUCCCGGGGCGUCUCAUUCUCAUUGCGAGAGGAGGCGCACCAUGAGCGUACACGCUGGGACCCGAAAGAUGGUGAACUAUGCCUGGU
rnacentral:rRNA from 1 species